rnacentral:rRNA from 1 species
GACGAACGCUGGCGGCGUGCCUAAUACAUGCAAGUCGAACGCUUCUUUCCUCCCGAGUGCUUGCACUCAAUUGGAAAGAGGAGUGGCGGACGGGUGAGUAACACGUGGGUAACCUACCCAUCAGAGGGGGAUAACACUUGGAAACAGGUGCUAAUACCGCAUAACAGUUUAUGCCGCAUGGCAUAAGAGUGAAAGGCGCUUUCGGGUGUCGCUGAUGGAUGGACCCGCGGUGCAUUAGCUAGUUGGUGAGGUAACGGCUCACCAAGGCCACGAUGCAUAGCCGACCUGAGAGGGUGAUCGGCCACACUGGGACUGAGACACGGCCCAGACUCCUACGGGAGGCAGCAGUAGGGAAUCUUCGGCAAUGGACGAAAGUCUGACCGAGCAACGCCGCGUGAGUGAAGAAGGUUUUAGGAUCGUAAAACUCUGUUGUUAGAGAAGAACAAGGACGUUAGUAACUGAACGUCCCCUGACGGUAUCUAACCAGAAAGCCACGGCUAACUACGUG